GAAACCUUCCGUGGAGUGUCAGCUAGGUAACAUCCGCAAGCCCAACGAAGUCAUUCAUGACACAUAUGCGUUUAUGCACAAUGGCGAUCAUGAAACCACCACCCCACCCCCAGAGUCAUUCAUGAAACA